rnacentral:hammerhead_ribozyme from 1 species
AGCCGAAACAAGCAAGCACUGAAUGUGCCUGCUUGUCUGCAGGGAAUGACCGCCCUGCGCUGAUGAUGGCAGGUCGGA